rnacentral:tRNA from 1 species
AUUUAUGUAGUUUAAAAAAAACAUUACACUUUCACUGUAAAAAUAAUAGUAAUAUUCUUAAAUA